GAGGGGGACGGGGGGGGGAGCUCGGGGCACCGCGGGCCGGGCCGGGCCGGGCACCGCCGCACCGGCCCCGGCCCCAGCACCGGCACCGGCCCCGGCAGCGGUACCGGCAGCGGCAGCGCCGCGCACACCCGCUCGCUCACACACACACACACACACACUCACACACUCACACACACUCACACCCGCACGCACGCACUCACACACACGUACACACACACACACACACACGGUCCAGGCUCGUUCAGACUGCUUGUGUUUAUAUAUAUAUGGAUAGAGGCGUGCAUCUAUAUAUAUAUAUAUAUAUGUGAGAGCGAGACCAAGAGGGAGCGGUGGAGGAAGGAUCCGAGCGAGAGCGUUUAGACUGUGCUGGGUAAAACGGGGCGGAGAUGCGGUAAUGCACCAAAACUGCAGAUGUGUCGGGGGGUUGCUUGUGGGAACAGGGGUUGGCCGGGUGGGUUUUCGUUUGGUUUCUUUAGGGUUUUGCUUUUUUACUCCCCCAGUUACCCCUCUCUCGCAGCGAGGAAUGCCACUGAUGUCUGCACCUCUUCUCUCCCCUCCUCCCCCCCCGCACUCUCCCCCCUAUCCCCAAAAGGGCUCUCUUCUCUGAAUCACAGAAACUUUUUUCCCCCCUUUCUCCCUCUCUCUUUUUUUUUUCCCUUUAUUUUUCUUUCCCCUUUAUUUUUCUUUCCCCCUUUUUUUUCUUUCCUUUUUUUUUUUCCUUUUCUUUCCUUUAUUUUUUUUUCUUAAAUGGGAGCAAUCCAAAAGAAAAAAAAGGGAGGCAGAAGCAAAAUAAUCUGAUUAAUCAGAGGGGGCCUGCUGCAUUCCAGCACCCUGUUUUUCUUGGCCAAACCGGAGAAUUUUGGUGCAAGGCAGACAUCCACUCUGAAAACAUAUAUAUCUAUAUAGCUAUAUAUUCUGCAAAAAUGAAAAGGGCCACUUUUUCCAGGAAAAAAAAAAUAUGCACACAGCACUAAAAACAAGCAGACUGCAUAGGGAAGCAAAUACAUAUAUAUAUAUUUAUCUAUAUAUAUAGGUAUAGCUAUAGAACAAAAAUAUGGAAAUAAAUGCCCGCACACCGAAAACUGACCCCGAGGA
rnacentral:lncRNA from 1 species